AUUGAACGCUGGCGGCAUGCCUAACACAUGCAAGUCGAGCGGAGCGGCGGACGGGUGAGGAAUGCUUAGGCAUAUGCCUGGUAGUCGUGGAUAACGUCCGGAAACGGGCACUAAUUGCGCAUACUUUCAGAUGAGCCUUGGUCGAUUUAGCUAGUUGGUGGGGUAAAGGCCUACAAAGGCGACGAUCCGUAACUGGUCUGAGAGGAUGAUCAGUCACACUGGAACUGAGACACGGUCCAGACUCCUACGGGAGGCAGCAGUGGGGAAUAUUGGACAAUGGGCGAAAGCCUGAUCCAGCCAUGCGGCGUGUGUGAAGAAGGUCUUCGGAUUGUAAAGCCCUUUAAGUUGGGAGGCGUUACCAACAUAAUAAGCACCGGCUAACUUCGUGCCAGCCGCCGCGGUAAUAC
rnacentral:rRNA from 1 species